AUUGAACGCUGGCGGAAUGCUUUACACAUGCAAGUCGAACGGUAGAGGGGGCAACCCCUUGAGAGUGGCGAACGGGUGAGUAAUAUAUCGGAACGUGCCCAGUCGUGGGGAUAACGUAGCGAAAGUUACGCUAAUACCGCAUACGAUCUACGGAUGAAAGCGGGGGACUCGCAAGAGCCUCGCGCGAUUGGAGCGGCCGAUAUCAGAUUAGGUAGUUGGUGGGGUAAAGGCUCACCAAGCCAACGAUCUGUAGCUGGUCUGAGAGGACGACCAGCCACACUGGAACUGAGACACGGUCCAGACUCCUACGGGAGGCAGCAGUUGGGGGAAUUUUGGACAAUGGACGCAAGUCUGAUCCAGCCAUUCCGCGUGCAGGAUGAAGGCCCUCGGGUUCGUAAAC
rnacentral:rRNA from 1 species